GGUUUGCAUACAUGGAGGGAUUUUGUCCUCCUUGUAGAUCCUCUCCAAGUCAUUAAGGUUUCGAGGAUGACGUUUGGCAACUCGUACCUUCAACUCACUUCACAGAUUUUCUAUGGGAUUAAGGUGUGGAGACUGGUUAGGCCACUCCAGGACCAUAAUGUGCUUCUUCUUGAGCCACUCCUCUGUUGCCUUGGCUGUGUGUUUUGGGUCAUUGUCAUGCUGCAAUACCCAUCCACGACCCAUUUCAAUGCCCUGGCUGAGGGAAGGAGGUUCUCCCCCAAGAUUUGACGGUAGAUGGCACCAUCCAUCGUCCCUUUGAUGCGGUGCAGUUGUCCUGUCUGCUUAGCAGAAAACCACCCCCAAAGCAUAAUGUUUCCACCUCCAUGUUUGACGGUGGGGAUGGUGUUCUUGGGGUCAUAGGCAGCAUUCCUCCAAACACGGUGAGUUGAGUUGAUGCCAAAGAGCUUGAUUUUGGUCUCAUCUGACCACAACACUUUCACCCAGUUCUCCUCUAAAUCAUUCAGAUGUUCAUAGGCAAACUUCCGACGGG